GACGAACGCUGGCGGCGUGCAUAACACAUGCAAGUCACGGGGGCCAGCAAUGGCAACCGGCGAACGGGUGCGUAACACGUAAGCGACCUACCUCGAUGUGGGGCAUAGCCGGCCUAACGGCCGGGUAAUUCCGCAUGUGAUCCUUGAGGGGCAUAUCUCGAGGAUGAAACCAGUAAUGGGCAUUGAGAGGGGCUUGCGGCCUAUCAGCUUGUUGGCGGGGAACGGCUCACCAAGGCGACGACGGGUAGCUGGUCUGAGAGGAUGGCCAGCCACAUUGGGACUGAGAAACGGCCCAGACUCCUACGGGAGGCAGCAGUGGGGAAUCUUGCGCAAUGGCCUAACGGCUGACGCAGCGACGCCGCGUGAGGGAUGAAGCUCCUCGGAGUGUAAACCUCUGUUG
rnacentral:rRNA from 1 species